AUCGUACGGGAGGCAGCAGUGGGGGGUAUUGCACAAUGGGCGGAAGCCUGAUGCAGCGACGUCGCGUGAGGGAUGGAGGCCUUCGGGUUGUGAACCUCUGUUUCCGGUGGUGAAGGCCCCGCCCUUGGUGGUGGGGUUGACGGUAGCCGGGUAUGAAGCGCCGGCUAACUACGUGCCAGCAGCCGCGGUAAUCGAU
rnacentral:rRNA from 1 species